rnacentral:rRNA from 1 species
CCUACGGGAGGCUGCAGUAGGGAAUCUUUCACAAUGGGCGAAAGCCUGAUGGAGCAACGCCGCGUGCAGGAUGAAGGCCUUCGGGUUGUAAACUGCUUUUAUAAGCGAGAAAUAUGAUGGUAACUUAUGAAUAAGGAUCAGCUAACUACGUGCCAGCAGCCGCGGUCAUACGUAGGAUCCGAGCAUUAUCCGGAGUGACUGGGUGUAAAGAGUUGCGUAGGUGACAUAAUAAGUAGCUAGUGAAAUCUGGUGGCUCAACCAUUCAGACUAUUAGCUAAACUGUUAAGCUCGAGACCGUUAGGGGUAACUGGAAUUUCUAGUGUAGGAGUGAAAUCCGUAGAUAUUAGAAGGAACACCAAUAGCGUAGGCAGGUUGCUGGGACGGUUCUGACACUAAGGCACGAAAGCGUAGGGAGCAAACGGGAUUAGAUACCCCAGUAGUC